ACCCCUGGCUGAGGGCCAAACUCCCACAUGUCCGGGGAGUGCCUCCAGCCCGGGCAGCCCUCUCCCGCCAACCUCCGCUUGUGCCUCUCUGGGCUGGUCCUGGGCUCCCGAGCUGCUCUGCUAUCUGUGAUGCCUGGUACCCACUGCCCAAUGCUGCCCCCAAGCACCACCUCUCACCGCCCCCCAGCCACUCCCUCAAUCUCUCUGCCAGGCCUGGCGGUUCCACCUGGGGCGACCUGGGUCCCCAGCUCUGGGCCCCUCCAGCCACGCUCUGACCCCCAGGAGCAGAGGACUCUUCCCCUCCCAGCAACGCGGGCCUGGGAAAGACCCCCAGCCUUUCACAGCCUCAGUCUCCUUGUCUGUGAAAGCGGACCCUGCCGCUGACCUCAGCGAAUGGACCCAUGGCCUGACGAAGCGCCCCGGGGUGGGGUGGGGGGGCCGGGCGUCCAGCCAGAGUUCUUCCCACUUCUGGGCGGAGGCUGUCUGUCUUCCCGCCCAGCUCUCUGCGUCCCCUGAACCUCCCUGGCCCCACGCGGCUGUGGUGAGCCCCCGGGCGCUGCUCCUCCAGCCAGCCAGGCCUCCGGGUCUGCCCCAAGGCCGAGCAGGCCCCCUGGGGCUGGGCUGAGGGUCCCCAGGGGGCACCGAGGGGAGGCUCACCUGGUGGCCGGUGAGCACCAGGGCCGCCCACACGAAGAUGCCCGAGACGCCGCGGGCCAGCGGUGAGGCGCGUCAGGAUCGCUGUGCCCUGCCCAGCCCACGCCCGGGCCCCGGGGAGCCAGCGCCCUGCCCGUGGGCUCCCACGCUGCCUGGCAGGUGGCUGCUGCGGCCUGUGGCUUCUCCCGCCGCCGCGAGUUCCCGUGGGCCCCCAGCCCCGUCUGCCCACCGAGCAGUGGCUGCACGUUAUAAGCCUGGGCGCCCGCCCGUCCUGCGGCUUCCUGAUCAGGCCACCCCAGCGGCCGCCUCGGCCCCGCCUGCCGCCGGGAUCCCGGCCUCCUCGGAGGCCCCUUCACCUCACUGAGCCUCUGUUUUCUCGUCUGCAAAGGAAGCCGGACCUGCCGCCUGCUCUCCAGCUCUGACUGUGAAAGCCCGCGGCGCACUCGCCGUCCACACCACUCAGCCAGCUCUGAGCUCGUUCUCGCGGAUCCGGCCAUCACCCUCGUCCCCUGUCCAGCGCCCCCUCCUGAUCUCCAGUUUCCCUCCAAGGUGCGAAACAGGACAGCCGACGCCAGCUUAUCCAGCUGGGCCUGUGCCCGCUGCCUCAUUCCGUGGGCUGUCUGUCAUAAUUGGUUCAGGAGGAUCCAGGGCUCCAUCAAACCCUGGACAAGCUGCUUGGAUGGAUAACCGAGGAUGGCCGCCCGCCUGGCCUCUCUUGACCGCCAAGGGACCCACUCGCCCUUGACUCUGAGCUGGGGCUGCAGGCCCGCCCUUGACCCUGAGCUGGGGCUGCCGGCCAUGUCCACUUAGGAAAAGGCAGCAAGUGGGAGAACGUGGGCUUCUCUGCUUGCAGCUCAGCAGCAGGGGUGUCUACACCACCUCACCCCACCCCACGUCCACCCCACACUGCGUUGGUCCAAGGGCACGGCCUUGAACAAGGGCACUUCCUGCACCUGUCGGCGUUGCAGGGGCUGGCACACCGACCCCACGUGUGUUAUCCACAUUCAGCCGUACAUUGCUGGGAGUUGUAAUUACAGUUUGAUUGCUGGGUAAAGCACCAUAUGCAGCCUUUCCAUCUAAAGGAAUAACAAUUUCCACGAAGCCGACAGCCCUGCCUGCGGAAACCGCGGCUUUAUGGAUCUCUUUAUUGGAGCGUGUAUCUCUCCUCCUGAAUUACAGCAGCUGCGAGCAGAGCACCGCAGAAAGCAAGGGCCAAGCGCCUUCUCACACGAGCCGCCCGUCUUGAUUUACAAGGCAGAGCAGAGCAGCGAGGCGCUGGCUUCAGUGACGGAAGUCUUUGCUCUCGCUAGCUACGACAGCUUUGGGCAGCUGUGAGCGGAUUCUUUACCAGCUGAGCUACUGGGGAAGCCAGUGUGGCCCAUCCAAGGAGCGUCAGUGAGGGGUCUGGGAACGUGUAAACAGCGUCCCUCGGGGCCCUCGGCUUGCUUCAAACCCCAGCCCUGCCGCUUGGUGGCAGCGUGCCUCCGUUUCCUCAACUGCUGUGUAGACCUCAUUGGGUGGGCGGGAGGAUUAAACGUGUUACCAGGACUGAAGGGUGAGCCCAGAGCUCACCAACAGGCAGGGUGAGCCAGACCUCUCGUACAUUUAGGGGCCGAGGCAGAAAACCAAAGCUGCAAAUCUGGACUAAGCCCCAGGCUGGAGCCUGACCCAAGGUUCAGGUUCCCGGCUGGUCAAGCAGGAGAAGCGUUUCCAGACUCGUCUGAUGCCUAGAUGACGAGCGUGCUAAUUACAGGCUGCUAUGGGUCGAGGCGGCUCCAGCCCAGCGGCACUUGCGUCGGCCCGUGCGCCCGGCCAGGCGCCGCUUCUCCAGGAGCUGUCGCCCCCAUCAUUCCCAGGUGCUGCUGACCCCCCAACACAUCUCUUCUACUCCGGCGUCUGUGUCCCCACACCUGCCAUGACCUGUGUCACCCCUCGGGCCCUCUCAUGUGGGUGGACAGGCCUUUCCCUUCUCCUGUUGGUCAGCUGCUUUCUGGCCUUUAAAGCGUCCGUGCAAGCCCUCCAAGUGCAGACGCCAGGCAGGGUCUUCUCAGGAGAAAGGCCAGGGCUGAGAGCGAGCAGCAAGGAGGUGGGACCCAGAGCCCCCAGCCAGAUGUGGCCGCCGAAGAGCCCUGAGCUGCCCGGCAUGGAUCUGCCUGUUUCCCCUGGUGGAGGCCUGGCUCCCAGGUCCCUCAAGCUCCCCACACAGGGGCAUCUGCAGCGCUCUAGGAAGUCUGGUGGACCCUUGUAUGACUGCCUGGCCCUCCUGACACAGGUCACCGGGUCACCCCACAGCUGGUGUGUGCCUGUGGGUUUACCCGACGGUCCUGAGGGGCUGUGAACGUGCCUCCCCGGGGGCCCUGGCAUCUGCUGAGGGAACGAGCCUUUAAACAAGGCUGUCUUCUGUCCCAUGCUCAGCAACCCCACUCGAGUCCUUCUCAGGUUAGACCAGCAGCAUGGUCUCGCCAUCACCGGUCCCCGACAGCCCUAACGUCCCAGUUUGAGCUUCUGCCCCCUGGCCGUUCCCACAAGCACCCACACCGGUGGCGGGAUGCACCUCUACCCUCUGUCUUUAAGCACGUGGCUCUGGAAGCUAGGGUGCCAGUCCAUCGAGAGGCCUCGAGCGGCGUCUGGGCAACAGAAGGAUCAGAAAAGCCACG